UACAGAGGUCUCAAGCGUUGUUCGGAUUCAUUGGGCGUAAAGGGUGCGUAGGUGGCGCCGUAAGUCGGGUGUGAAAUUUCGGAGCUUAACUCCGAAACUGCAUUCGAUACUGCGGUGCUUGAGGACUGGAGAGGAGACUGGAAUUCACGGUGUAGCAGUGAAAUGCGUAGAUAUCGUGAGGAAGACCAGUGGCGAAGGCGGGUCUCUGGACAGUUCCUGACGCUGAGGCGCGAAGGCCAGGGGAGCAAACGGG
rnacentral:rRNA from 1 species